rnacentral:lncRNA from 1 species
UCCUAAACUCUUUUAAGAUGAGCUUUAUAGACCUAUCCUCUAAUAUAUCUACCAGCUGUCCUUAACACAGGUUAGAUAUCUUUGGAUCUCGAAAUAAUUCAGAUUCAAUUCUCACCAUGCCAUAUCAUAUACAGUGUGAUAGAAAUAGAUUUAGAGAGAACUCAAUUUCAUAGAAAUAAAAUAUAUUACUAAAGAAAUAAAAUAAAUCAGUAAAUUUCAUCAU